ensembl:lncRNA
ACAGUUACCCACAGCAUAUCACACUACCAGUCAGAUAACACUCAUCACAUCCGGCAAUCAUUCUGAAGAACUGUCAUUUCUCCUCAUGGACUCCCCUCAGGUUCCCAUUGUCCUCGGCCACCCCUGGAAGAGCCGGUGAAUUUGUCAAACGUGCCCGCCAAGUACCUCGACCUGAAGGAAGUGUUCAAUCGUUGUUUUAUGGAUGUAACCUGUUGUGUUCCUGUCUCUUCGGCUCCUCGUGUCUCCUGGUUUGUCUCCGGCUGGAAGUUCGCCGUUGCAGUGUAUGUCUUCACUAUUCACCAACACUGGAUUCACCACUUCACGUCUGACCAUCGGAUCGAGUUGUCCAUGCAAGCCUGCGCUGCCUAGUCAUCAUCAUCAUCGGAGAUACCAUCACAUUCAGAAGGACC